rnacentral:rRNA from 1 species
AUUGAACGCUGGCGGCAGGCCUAACACAUGCAAGUCGAACGAGUGGCGGUCGGGUGAGUAAUGUCCGGGAAACUGCACGAUGGAGGGGGAUACCUACCGGAAACGGUAGCUAAUACCGCAUACCAUCGGAUGUGCCCAGCAGGGUGUAGGUAGUAGGUGAGGUAAUGGCUCACCUAGGCGACUAUCCCUAGCUGGUCUGAGAGGAUGACCAGCCACACGGGAACGGAGACCGGGUCCAUACUCGUACGAGAGGCAGCAGUGGGGAAUAUUACACAAAGGGCGCAAGCCUGAUGCAGCCAUGCCGCGUGUAUGAAGGAGGCCUGCGGGUUGUAAAGUACUGUCAGCAGUGAGGCGUUACACGCAGAAAAAGCACCGGCUAACUCCGUGCCAGCAGCCGCGGUAAUUC